rnacentral:lncRNA from 1 species
AAAAAAUGCAAGCUUCGCUUCCCUCUUACCCGCUUGGAUGGAUCUUUUCCGUGCGGGAAGCAAAGAAAUCCCGUUUCCCUCGGCCUUAUCGGCCCAGGGCUGAGCUGCUGCCUCCGGUUGAGCGAACCCGGCCUGCCGCAGCACCCCCCAAGCACCCCCGCCCCGCACACCCUUAAUUGCAAUUUAAGGGAGAAUAUUCUUUCCGUCCUCUCUUCGCCCAAGGGCAUUU